rnacentral:rRNA from 1 species
UACAGAGGUCUCAAGCGUUGUUCGGAUUCAUUGGGCGUAAAGGGUGCGUAGGUGGCGAGGCAAGUCGGAUGUGAAAUCCCGGGGCUUAACCCCGGAACUGCAUUCGAUACUGCCUUGCUCGAGUACUGGAGAGGAGACUGGAAUUUACGGUGUAGCAGUGAAAUGCGUAGAUAUCGUAAGGAAGGCCAGUGGCGAAGGCGAGUCUCUGGACAGUUACUGACACUGAGGCACGAAGGCCAGGGGAGCAAACGGG